rnacentral:lncRNA from 1 species
GUCACUGUUCUAUUUUAAAAUCACCGCUCGGUGCGAUACAAUUACUUUACUGUUCAUUUACAUGGAAUGUACCACACCACGCCCCUGUUGUACUUGUAAUCACGAUACAAUUAUUUUAUUGGUGGAGGUCUAGGUAGACAGAUAUAACCAGUGUAGAGGAGGUCUAUAUAGACAGAUAUUACCAGUGUAGUGGAGGAGGUCUAGAUAGACAGAUAUAACCAGUGUAGAGGAGGUCUAUAUAGACAGAUAUUACCAGUGUAGAGGAGGUCUAUAUAGACAGAUAUUACCAGUGUAGAGGAGGUCUAUAUAGACAGAUAUAACCAGUGAAGAAGAGGUCUAUAUAGACAGAUAUUACCAGUGAAGAGGAGGAGGUCUAUAUAGACAGAUAUAACCAGUGUAGAGGAGGAGGUCUAUAUAGACAGAUAUAACCAGUGUAGAGGA